UUGACCCUGCCUCGCAUCACCGCCUCCCCAGAUCGCCGCCUCCCCAGUCCCCACGUCGCCGGACCACGCGACCUCCAGCGCCAACCGCCACAACUCGGUCCUCUGCUACCAUGGAGAAGGAAGCCGGCCCUCCGAUCCCGGAGUCGGGGGAAUGAUAAAACCGUCGUCGACAGCACUCUGGACCUGGGAGUCUCCGCCGACCCUAACCCCGACGAACACCAGGUGAUCAUCGAGGUCCCGUGGCGGCCAAUCCUCACCUUCUGCCGUGGCGCCCUCCCCCCCCCCCCCCCCCCCUCUCUCUCUCUCUCUCCCCUAUUGCAGGUCAAUUCCAUUCGGGUGUAGCAGAUCUGCAGCCAACUGAAACUUUUUACGGUGAAUUCUUGGGAAUUGGAUACAGACGAACUGAAGCACGAUUUCAGGUUUUUUUUUGCGCUUAGUCAAUUGCAGCCCUGCAUUUUGAUCAUUAGAUGCAAAAGGUGUGAACCAUCUUCCACGUGUUAUGUACUCAGAAUUUUGUGGAAAGGUAAGUAUCUACAAGAAUCUGAAAUUUCCAGUGGGUGCUAGACUGACAACAAUCGUGCGACUGCAUUUUUACAUACUGUAGCAACUGUGUUCUUGAUUGUGAUUCUUGGACAAUUAGCUACUACAUUCUUUUUAUGGGGGGCACCUCUUGCCUUUUCUUUUCUUUUUCAUUUUUUUUCUCAAGAUGCAGGUCUUACAUUUUGUUUAAAAGCGAUAACUUUUUCAGUAAAUGUAUAAAGUGUACGUCCUGCUCUUGUAGGUGAGAAAAAAUCUAUGAUUUCUAAUAGCCAUGUUUAUUUUGUGAAGUUUUCCUGAACUCUCUGUCCAUGAAUUUUUUUUUCAAAAAUCAAUUGAGAUUUCUAGCAUGUGUUUGUUGGUCUCUGUGAAGACUUACGACACGCAUGCCUCUUCUUUCUACCAAGAAAAACACAAGGUUCACGAUUGGUUUUAUUGUCGAUGUUCAUUCUAUAAAUUACUGGGAAAGAUUCAAUAAUAUGUAGAAUUAGAAAUAACUAUGUAGAAUUAGAAAUAACCACUUUUUACACCAAAGUAACAGGUUAAACUUUACCCUGUAGAAUUAGAAAUAACCAUGUCACUUCCACUGAUUUCUGCACUACCACUUCACCUUUUCUCACAACUUAGGGACAUCUUUGUUUGAUUUCUCAUACUUGAGUUGAAUGAUUUAUAAGUUCCAUAAGAUUUUUUUCCUAAAACGAUCAUGUUUCUGAUACUGCAGUCAAGGUCAGAGUUUAAAGUGAUCUUCCAAAGAAGUAAUUAUUGUAAGAAGCAGCAAACAUUUGAAAUUAUGACCAUGUUCCAGGCAUUGGAAUGGGUAUGGCACAUCUAUAAUACAUAAAUUUAUUGUGUAAUUCCAGUGAACUGUAACUCUUUUGAGUUCUUGGUUUUAAGUGCAAAUGUUGUCAGGCACAUUGACCAUUCAGACCAUGCUACCUUUGUUUUUCAAAUAUUUUAUCUGAUCCUCAGUUCAGGAUAGGCAGAGCAGCUUGACGUGUCUUGAAUAUCCGAUAAAAUUUAUAUCAGGGCCUCUCUUAGUCUGAUGGCCUUUACUAUUUUUAUUUCAAUAGAGUACCUCUCUUCUGCUAUAUGCCAAUUUUUGGCUUAUGUAUUUUCAGUGAUUUACCAAGUGCCACGGUUCGUAUUGACAUAAGAUCUUUAGAAGAUGGUGGUGUUUACUUUAAUAUGUUUUUAAAAUAUAUGCAUUUCCUCGACGGAAUAAGAUUGUGUAGAAGUUCUGGCAAGCGGUUGCUGCCACCAAGUAAGGAGGUGCACCAUGUUAGGCCUUCGGGUCUUGGGCUAGGAGGACGAGGCUGGUCUGCUGAUCUCAGGCCACGCAUGGUUCCUCCUCCAGUGUCCGUUCGCGUUGUGACACAUUCAUAUGCUUCGACAUCACCUACUGUUUUUGGAUCAGUUGGUUAUCAUCAGUCGGCGUUGUCUGUUGGGUCUGCUGAAGGAUCUUGUGCUACCGAUUUUUUUGUUGAUAUGGAUGCUCGGAGGCACGCAAUUCAUCUUGGCAAGCCGGUCUGCCGUCUCCUCGAGGCGUCGCACACUGGUGACCGGUGGCGCGCGUUGCCCCACCAGCGUCGCCUGCUGGCUCAUCCUGUUACCCGCGUGACCCAUGUGCCACGCUACGGUGGCCGUCUCCCCAAGGAAUUGAUUGUCAAUCAUCCCAGCGUGAGACGCAACCGAUUCCACCAGCCGCAUGGUUGUAUGGUGUGGUUUUCUUUCAGUGAGACACUGCGUCCCCUAAAUAACUACAUAAGCAUAGUCCACACGUUCUGCAAGGCCCGGAGGUGAUAAUGGCAUGCCUAAUUGGUUGUCCAUUAGUAUCAUGAACAAUAAAUCAAUGUUAUUGUGUGCCCUAAUAUCUUACGGAUUUGGUGUGUGACUGGUGUUGAUAUUGACUUGCAUCCCUUGAACUUGCUCAAGAGUAUUCUACUGAUGUGGAGGUGGGAGAUGAGUACUCGUUAGUUCACUUGUCAAAUUUUGGGCAUCAACGAUAAUAUGGUCUCAGGUGGAUGCUGCUUGAUGGAUGUGAGUCAUCUUCAACAAGCAGAAGACCCAAGUUGGUUUGCAUCUCUCCUCCUCUUGGAUUGCACGAUCUUUGCAGGAAUAGUCCCGUCGAGGUUUGUUUCUAUACAAUACUAUAGCACCAGAUUUGAUCUUUGACCACCCUAUUUUUAUAUUCUAUUUUGUAACUGUAUCGUUCAUAAUUGUUUGGCUGAGCUUGGUAAUAUUGUGGCUAGGCAGGGCUAUACAUAUGAAUGAAGCUGGCUCAUGUGAGGUUUCAGUUCAGGGCCUAGGCUAGGAUCCCUGCUUGUAAGAAUGUGGCUUAAUUUCCAGGCACCUUUGCUUUAAUACGGACCUGAUCGUGACCUGUAAAUAGAGAAUCCAAUCUAAAGGAAUCAGUUCAUUUGUCGUUCAUGUCGAUUUUGAACUAGAAGAAAACCGCUCUAAUGUAUUUGAAGGCAUGAUUUAACCUAAGUAUGUGUGAUUUUGUGAUGACUUUCUCAGUUUAACCGCAGCUUUAAUGACUCAUGGAGUUUAAUGAAGUGCUGCCGCCAAACAAAUCAGAGUUACAUUGUGUAUUGGGAGCUUUGGGCAAAAAUAGUUCAUGGGUAUCAGAAAAUUCUGCUACUGCGGUUGCUACCCAAGUCUACAUCAGAAUACUUGAAAGAUAACUAUUGUCAUACCUCUUUAUUCUGCAAGUUGGAUCGUGGGAGUUAAGAAGAUAUGAAGGUGAACUAUGAAGGACAAGUCACCUGGGAAAUCAACAAUCCCCAAGAACCUAAUUGUAGCUUACAAGUUGGACCUCAAGGAGGAAAGGGGACACAUGUGCUAGGAACGUGAGAUAUCAUCUCUGUUUUGUCUAAUAUUUUGUUGAAAAAAUUCUUAAAGAGUUACAUGAUGAUACUGACGUGUUCAUUGAUGCUCUGGCCUGAAAAUAAUCUGAUUGUAAUUCUACUACCACUAAUUAAA